UCAGCCGGCCGGGCGGCCGCUCCGGUCCCGUCGGCAGGUUCGCCUGCCGCGCGGGAUCCGGGGAGGAAAGUCCGGGCUCCAUGAAGAGACGGUGCCGGAUAACGUCCGGCGGGGGCGACCCCAGGGACAGUGUCACAGAGAGCAGACCACCGGGCGUGUCCUUGCGGACCCGUGCCGGCCAGGGUGAAAGGGUGCGGUAAGAGCGCACCGCGGACGCGGCAACGCGGACGGCACGGCAAACCCCACCGGGAGCAAAACCGAAUAGGGGCGGCACGCGCGAGGGAUCGCGCACGGCCUUCUUCAGGCCCGUCGCCCGGGUUGGUUGCUCGAGACGGCCGGCAACGGCCGUCCCAGAGGAAUGGCCGCCACGUCCGGAGGAUCCUUGCGGAUCCGCCGGGCCCUACAGAACCCGGCUUACAGGCCGGCUGAUACC
rnacentral:RNase_P_RNA from 1 species